CGAGCACGCGCGUGUGGCAUAUCAAUAAGCGGAGGAAAAGAAACUAACAAGGAUUCCCUUAGUAACGGCGAGUGAAGCGGGAAGAGCUCAAAUUUGAAAUCUUCAAGGUUCUACCUUGACGAAUUGUAGUUUAUAGAAGUGUUUUCUGUUAGUAGGAGUGGUAAAAGUUCUUUGGAAUAGGACAUCAUAGAGGGUGAGAAUCCCGUAUUUGGACCAUUCUUCUAGCGUUGUGAUACACUUUCAAAGAGUCGGAUUGUUUGGGAAUGCAGUCCAAAAUGGGUGGUAAAUUUCAUCUAAAGCUAAAUAUUGGCGAGAGACCGAUAGCGAACAAGUACCGUGAGGGAAAGAUGAAAAGAACUUUGAAAAGAGAGUUAAACAGUACGUGAAAUUGUCAAAAGGGAAGCGUUUGACACCAGUGUUGUUUUUCCGAAAAUCAAUUACGAAUGUUUUGUUUUUGAGGAGUUAUGACUUCAUCGGCUUGCUUCUCUCUUUAUCGAAACUUUCUUAAUGCACUUUUCGGUUAACAAGUCAACAUCAAUUUCUUUUGUUGUAAAAGGGUAUGAGGAAGGUGGCUUUCUUUUCGGAGAAAGUGUUUAUAGCCUUGUACCUCUGCAAUCGGAGAGAUUGAGGUCUGCAGCGUAGAUCCUUCGGGGUUAGAUACAGUUUGUGCUAAGUUAUAGCUUUUCAUAGACAACUUGUUGACUAUGUUAAGUCUUGUAGCUUACUCGCUUAUGCUAUUUUACCUACGCUUAGGAUGUUGAACUCUAUCACACACAG
rnacentral:rRNA from 1 species